rnacentral:rRNA from 1 species
AACGAACGCUGGCGGCAGGCCUAACACAUGCAAGUCGAACGCUCCGCAAGGGGAGUGGCGCACGGGUGAGUAACGCGUGGGAAUCUUCCUAUCGGUACGGAAUAGCUCAGGGAAACUUGGGGUAAUACCGCAUACGCCCUUCGGGGGAAAGAUCUAUCGCCGAUAGAUGAGCCCGCGUCUGAUUAGCUAGUUGGUGAGGUAAUGGCUCACCAAGGCGACGAUCAGUAGCUGGUCUGAGAGGAUGACCAGCCACACUGGGACUGAGACACGGCCCAGACUCCUACGGGAGGCAGCAGUGGGGAAUAUUGGACAAUGGGCGCAAGCCUGAUCCAGCCAUGCCGCGUGAGUGACGAAGGUCUUCGGAUUGUAAAGCUCUUUUGGCGGGGACGAUAAUGACGGUACCCGCAGAAUAAGCCCCGGCUAACUUCGUGCCAGCCGCCGCGGUAA